rnacentral:tRNA from 1 species
GGGCCCGUAGCUCAGGCUGGAUAGAGCGCCUGCCUUCUAAGCAGGAGGCCGGGGGUCCGAAUCCCCCCGGGCCCG